CGAGGGUUCGGAGAAUAGGGAACGGAGUGCAAGUCUCCGACAGGACCGCUGCUGUGAGGCGGAGCCGAAGGCCAUGACCAUUGAUCGAAGGAUCGAGAAGGGGCCCGGGGCGAUGAAGCCGAGUCAGAAGACCUGCCUGUGAAGAUA
rnacentral:ncRNA from 1 species